rnacentral:rRNA from 1 species
AAAUUGAAGAGUUUGAUCAUGGCUCAGAUUGAACGCUGGCGGCAGGCCUAACACAUGCAAGUCGAACGGUAACAGGAAUCAGCUUGCUGAUUCGCUGACGAGUGGCGGACGGGUGAGUAAUGUCUGGGAAACUGCCUGAUGGAGGGGGAUAACUACUGGAAACGGUAGCUAAUACCGCAUAAUGUCGCAAGACCAAAGAGGGGGACCUUCGGGCCUCUUGCCAUAGGAUGUGCCCAGAUGGGAUUAGCUUGUAGGUGGGGUAACGGCUCACCUAGGCGACGAUCCCUAGCUGGUCUGAGAGGAUGACCAGCCACACUGGAACUGAGACACGGUCCAGACUCCUACGGGAGGCAGCAGUGGGGAAUAUUGCACAAUGGGCGCAAGCCUGAUGCAGCCAUGCCGCGUGUAUGAAGAAGGCCUUCGGGUUGUAAAGUACUUUCAGCGGGGAGGAAGGGAGUAAAGUUAAUACCUUUGCUCAUUGACGUUACCCGCAGAAGAAGCACCGGCUAACUCCGUGCCAGCAGCCGCGGUAAUACGGAGGGUGCAAGCGUUAAUCGGAAUUACUGGGCGUAAAGCGCACGCAGGCGGUUUGUUAAGUCAGAUGUGAAAUCCCCGGGCUCAACCUGGGAACUGCAUCUGAUACUGGCAAGCUUGAGUCUCGUAGAGGGGGGUAGAAUUCCAGGUGUAGCGGUGAAAUGCGUAGAGAUCUGGAGGAAUACCGGUGGCGAAGGCGGCCCCCUGGACGAAGACUGACGCUCAGGUGCGAAAGCGUGGGGAGCAAACAGGAUUAGAUACCCUGGUAGUCCACGCCGUAAACGAUGUCGACUUGGAGGUUGUGCCCUUGAGGCGUGGCUUCCGGAGCUAACGCGUUAAGUCGACCGCCUGGGGAGUACGGCCGCAAGGUUAAAACUCAAAUGAAUUGACGGGGGCCCGCACAAGCGGUGGAGCAUGUGGUUUAAUUCGAUGCAACGCGAAGAACCUUACCUGGUCUUGACAUCCACGGAAGUUUUCAGAGAUGAGAAUGUGCCUUCGGGAACCGUGAGACAGGUGCUGCAUGGCUGUCGUCAGCUCGUGUUGUGAAAUGUUGGGUUAAGUCCCGCAACGAGCGCAACCCUUAUCCUUUGUUGCCAGCGGUCCGGCCGGGAACUCAAAGGAGACUGCCAGUGAUAAACUGGAGGAAGGUGGGGAUGACGUCAAGUCAUCAUGGCCCUUACGACCAGGGCUACACACGUGCUACAAUGGCGCAUACAAAGAGAAGCGACCUCGCGAGAGCAAGCGGACCUCAUAAAGUGCGUCGUAGUCCGGAUUGGAGUCUGCAACUCGACUCCAUGAAGUCGGAAUCGCUAGUAAUCGUGGAUCAGAAUGCCACGGUGAAUACGUUCCCGGGCCUUGUACACACCGCCCGUCACACCAUGGGAGUGGGUUGCAAAAGAAGUAGGUAGCUUAACCUUCGGGAGGGCGCUUACCACUUUGUGAUUCAUGACUGGGGUGAAGUCGUAACAAGGUAACCGUAGGGGAACCUGCGGUUGGAUCACCUCCUUA